UGGGUAACCUGCCUCAAAGAGGGGAAUAGCCUCCCGAAAGGGAGAUUAAUACCGCAUAAUAUGUUUGGGUCGCAUGACUUUAACAUCAAAGGAUUUUCUUUUAGAAAUUCCACUUUGAGAUGGACCCGCGGCGCAUUAGCUAGUUGGUGAGGUAACGGCUCACCAAGGCAACGAUGCGUAGCCGACCUGAGAGGGUGAUCGGCCACAUUGGAACUGAGACACGGUCCAGACUCCGUAGGAGG
rnacentral:rRNA from 1 species